AUUGAACGCUGGCGGCAGGCCUAACACACGCAAGUCGAGCGGAUGAAGGGAGCUUGCUCCUGGAUUCAGCGGCGGACGGGUGAGUAAUGCCUAGGAAUCUGCCUGGUAGUGGGGGAUAACGUCCGGAAACGGGCGCCAAUACCGCAUACGUCCUGAGGGAGAAAGUGGGGGAUCUUCGGACCUCACGCUAUCAGAUGAGCCUAGGUCGGAUUAGCUAGUUGGUGGGGUAAAGGCCUACCAAGGCGACGAUCCGUAACUGGUCUGAGAGGAUGAUCAGUCACACUGGAACUGAGACACGGUCCAGACUCCUACGGGAGGCAGCAGUGGGGAAUAUUGGACAAUGGGCGAAAGCCUGAUCCAGCCAUGCCGCGUGUGUGAAGAAGGUCUUCGGAUUGUAAAGCACUUUAAGUUGGGAGGAAGGGCAGUAAGUUAAUACCUUGCUGUUUUGACGUUACCAACAGAAUAAGCACCGGCUAACUUCGUG
rnacentral:rRNA from 1 species